UUACCUCAAAUCAGGUAGACUACC
rnacentral:rRNA from 1 species